GAAUGUUGGCAUUAGUAGCGAGAUGUAGGUGAGAAUCCUACAGGCCGAAUAUCUAAGGUUUCCUCAGGAAGGCUCGUCCGCUGAGGGUUAGUCGGGACCUAAGCCGAGGCCGAAAGGCGUAGGCGAUGGACAAUCGGUUGAUAUUCCGAUACCACUACCAUCGUUAUUAUCGAGGGUGUGACGGAGAAGGAUAGUGUGUGCUAGCGAUUGGAAAUGCUAGUCUAAGCGUUUAGGAAGUUACGGUAGGCAAAUCCGCUGUAACAAUUCUGAGGCGUGAUGGGGAAGGCCAUAUAGGCCGAAGUACAUGAUUCCAUGCUUCCAAGAAAAGCAUCUAGAGAGAGAAGUAGUGCCCGUACCGCAAACCGACACAGGUAGAUGAGGAGAGAAUCCUAAGGCCGGCGGAAGAAUUGCAGUUAAGGAACUAGGCAAAUUGACCCCGUAAGUUCGCGAGAAGGGGUGCCUGCGAGAGCAGGCCGCAGAGAAUAGGCCCAAGCAACUGUUUAGCAAAAACACAGGUCUCUGCUAAAGCGUAAGCUGAUGUAUAGGGGCUGACGCCUGCCCGGUGCUGGAAGGUUAAGGGGAACACUUAGCGCAAGCGAAGGUGUGAACUUAAGCCCCAGUAAACGGCGGCCGUAACAAUAACGGUCCUAAGGUAGCGAAAUUCCUUGUCAGGUAAGUUCUGACCCGCACGAAUGGCGUAAUGACUUGGGCACUGUCUCAACUGCAAAUCCGGCGAAGUUGUAGUGCGAGUGAAGAUGCUCGCUACCCGCGAUUGGACGGAGAGACCCCGUAGAGCUUUACUGUAGCUUAGCAUUGAAUUCCGGUAUUGUCUGUACAGGAUAGGUGGGAGACUGGGAAACUAGGGCGUCAGCCUUAGUGGAGUCAACCUUGGGAUACCACCCUGACAGUACUGGGGUUCUAACAGGACGCCAUGAAUCUGGUGACUGGACAUUGUUAGGUGGGCAGUUUGACUGGGGCGGUCGCCUCCUAAAAAGUAACGGAGGCGCCCAAAGGUUCCCUCAGAACGGUCGGAAAUCGUUCGUAGAGUGCAAAGGCAGAAGGGAGCCUGACUGCGAGACAUACAAGUCGAGCAGGGACGAAAGUCGGGCUUAGUGUUCCGGUGGUACCUCGUGGGAGGGCCAUCGCUCAACGGAUAAAAGCUACCUCGGGGAUAACAGGCUGAUCUCCCCCAAGAGUCCACAUCGACGGGGAGGUUUGGCACCUCGAUGUCGGCUCGUCGCAUCCUGGGGCUGUAGUAGGUCCCAAGGGUUGGGCUGUUCGCCCAUUAAAGCGGCACGCGAGCUGGGUUCAGAACGUCGUGAGACAGUUCGGUCCCUAUCCGUCGCGGGCGUAGGAAAUUUGAGAGGAGCUGUCCUUAGUACGAGAGGACCGGGAUGGACUGACCUCUGGUGCACCAGUUGUUCCGCCAGGAGCAUGGCUGGGUAGCUAAGUCGGGAAGGGAUAAACGCUGAAAGCAUCUAAGCGUGAAGCCUCCCUCAAGAUGAGAUUUCCCAUAGCAUAAGCUAGUAAGACCCCUUGAAGAACACAAGGUUGAUAGGUCAGAGGUGUAAGUGCGGUAACGUAUUUAGCUGACUGAUACUAAUAGGUCGAGGGCUUGAUC
rnacentral:rRNA from 1 species